GGGAAACGGAACCAAACACAGAACAGAGUUUUGACCGGACUAUUUUACAAUAAGAUUGGCAGCAUAACAACAUUACCGCCACCUAUCGUGCUGGAAUAAGAGCCGCAAGUGAAUCCUUCUGCUCUUUUCUUGAAAUGACAUUUUAGGCUUUCCCGGCAAUCAUUGACUACUCUCAAAAAGAGAAAUAAUACUAUCUUCUCCAGCAUGUGGCGAGUCCUCUGACAUCAUUCCCAGAUCCUCCAAGUCACUGAAGGAGGCAGGGUUCAUGACGCUUAAAGCGGCUUCUAAUGAUUCUGAUGGCUCAUCAAAAUCUGGCUCCAUUGAUGGC